rnacentral:rRNA from 1 species
GACGAACGCUGGCGGCGUGCCUAAUACAUGCAAGUAGAACGCACAGUUUAUACCGUAGCUUGCUACACCAUAGACUGUGAGUUGCGAACGGGUGAGUAACGCGUAGGUAACCUGCCUGGUAGCGGGGGAUAACUAUUGGAAACGAUAGCUAAUACCGCAUAAUAUUGAUUAUUGCAUGAUAAUUAAUUGAAAUGUGCAAUUUCACCACUACCAGAUGGACCUGCGUUGUAUUAGCUAAUAGGUGAGGUAACGGCUCACCUAAUCGACGAUACAUAGCCGACCCGAGAGGGUGAUCCGCCACACUGGGACUGAGACACGGCCCAGGCUUCUACGGGAAGGAGCAGGAGGGAAUCUUCGGCAAUGGACGGAAGUCUGACCGAGCAACGCCGCGUGAGUGAAUAAGGUUUUCGGAUCGGAAAGCUCUGUUGUAAGGGAAGAACGGGAGUGAGAGUGGAAAGUGCACACUGUGACGGUAUCUUACCAGAAAGGGACGGCUAACUACGUG